UCCCUGGUGGUCCUAUGGUUAAGACUGUGAGCUUCCAAUGCUACAGGUGCAGGUUUGAUCCCUGGCCAGGGAA
rnacentral:tRNA from 1 species